rnacentral:rRNA from 1 species
AUACCGAAGAAUGUUAUCACGGGAGACACACGGCGGGUGCUAACGUCCGUCGUGAAGAGGGAAACAACCCAGACCGCCAGCUAAGGUCCCAAAGUCAUGGUUAAGUGGGAAACGAUGUGGGAAGGCAUAGACAGCCAGGAUGUUGGCUUAGAAGCAGCCAUCAUUUAAAGAAAGCGUAAUAGCUCACUGGUCGAGUCGGCCUGCGCGGAAGAUGUAACGGGGCUAAACCAUGCACCGAAGCUGCGGCAGCGACGCUUAGGCGUUGUUGGGUAGGGGAGCGUUCUGUAAGCCGUUGAAGGUGGCCUGUGAGGGUUGCUGGAGGUAUCAGAAGUGCGAAUGCUGACAUAAGUAACGAUAAAGCGGGUGAAAAGCCCGCUCGCCGGAAGACCAAGGGUUCCUGUCCAACGUUAAUCGGGGCAGGGUGAGUCGACCCCUAAGGCGAGGCUGAAAAGCGUAGUCGAUGGGAAACAGGUUAAUAUUCCUGUACUUGGUGUUACUGCGAAGGGGGGACGGAGAAGGCUAGGCUGGCCGGGCGACGGUUGUCCCGGUUUAAGCGUGUAGGGGGUGUGACCUGGUAAAUCCGGUUGCAUAUUAACCCUGAGGCGUGAUGACGAUGCACUACGGUGCAGAAGUAGUUGAUGCCCUGCUUCCAGGAAAAUCCUCUAAGCUCCAGGUAACAUUAAAUCGUACCCCAAACCGACACAGGUGGUCAGGUAGAGAAUACCAAGGCGCUUGAGAGAACUCGGGUGAAGGAACUAGGCAAAAUGGUGCCGUAACUUCGGGAGAAGGCACGCUGGCAUGUAGGUGAAGUCCCUUGCGGAUGGAGCUGAAGCCAGUCGAAGAUACCAGCUGGCUGCAACUGUUUAAUAAAAACACAGCACUGUGCAAACACGAAAGUGGACGUAUACGGUGUGACGCCUGCCCGGUGCUGGAAGGUUAAUUGAUGGGGUCAGCCGCAAGGCGAAGCUCUUGAUCGAAGCCCCAGUAAACGGCGGCCGUAACUAUAACGGUCCUAAGGUAGCGAAAUUCCUUGUCGGGUAAGUUCCGACCUGCACGAAUGGCGUAAUGAUGGCCAGGCUGUCUCCACCCGAGACUCAGUGAAAUUGAACUCGCUGUGAAGAUGCAGUGUACCCGCGGCAAGACGGAAAGACCCCGUGAACCUUUACUAUAGCUUGACACUGAACAUUGAGCCUUGAUGUGUAGGAUAGGUGGGAGGCUUUGAAGCGUGGACGCCAGUCUGCGUGGAGCCAUCCUUGAAAUACCACCCUUUAAUGUUUGAUGUUCUAACUCGGCCCCAUAAUCUGGGGUGAGGACAGUGUCUGGUGGGUAGUUUGACUGGGGCGGUCUCCUCCCAAAGAGUAACGGAGGAGCACGAAGGUUAGCUAAUCACGGUCGGACAUCGUGAGGUUAGUGCAAAGGCAUAAGCUAGCUUGACUGCGAGAGUGACGGCUCGAGCAGGUACGAAAGUAGGUCUUAGUGAUCCGGUGGUUCUGAAUGGAAGGGCCAUCGCUCAACGGAUAAAAGGUACUCCGGGGAUAACAGGCUGAUACCGCCCAAGAGUUCAUAUCGACGGCGGUGUUUGGCACCUCGAUGUCGGCUCAUCACAUCCUGGGGCUGAAGUAGGUCCCAAGGGUAUGGCUGUUCGCCAUUUAAAGUGGUACGCGAGCUGGGUUUAGAACGUCGUGAGACAGUUCGGUCCCUAUCUGCCGUGGGCGUUGGAAGAUUGAGAGGGGUUGCUCCUAGUACGAGAGGACCGGAGUGAACGCACCACUGGUGUUCGGGUUGUCAUGCCAAUGGCAUUGCCCGGUAGCUAAGUGCGGAAAAGAUAAGCGCUGAAAGCAUCUAAGCGCGAAACUUGCCUCAAGAUGAGUCUUCCCUGGGCCUUUAAGGCCCCUGAAGGAACGUUUAAGACUAAGACGUUGAUAGGCUGGGUGUGUAAGUGCAGCGAUGCAUUGAGCUAACCAGUACUAAUGAUCCGUGAGGCUUAACCUUACAACACCGAAGGUGUUU